rnacentral:misc_RNA from 1 species
UUUCCGUAGGUGAACCUGCGGAAGGAUCAUUAUUGAAUAGACCUGAUGUGGUUGUAGCUGGCCCUUUCGGGAGCAUGUGCACACCCGUCGUCUUUAUCUUUCCACCUGUGCACCUUUUGUAGACCUGGAUGUAACACUUUCCGAGGCAACUCGGUCGGGAGGAAUGCUGUCAGCUUUCCUUGAAUGUCCAGGCCUAUGUUCUCAUAUACCCCAAAGAAUGUAACAGAAUGUAUUAUUGGGCCUUGUGCCUAUAAACUAUAUACAACUUUCAGCAACGGAUCUCUUGGCUCUC